rnacentral:rRNA from 1 species
UACGUAGGUGGCAAGCGUUGUCCGGAAUUAUUGGGCGUAAAGCGCGCGCAGGCGGUCCUUUAAGUCUGAUGUGAAAGCCCACGGCUCAACCGUGGAGGGUCAUUGGAAACUGGGGGACUUGAGUACAGAAGAGAAGAGUGGAAUUCCACGUGUAGCGGUGAAAUGCGUAGAGAUGUGGAGGAACACCAGUGGCGAAGGCGACUCUUUGGUCUGUAACUGACGCUGAGGCGCGAAGCGUGG